rnacentral:rRNA from 1 species
CCCGAAACUAGGUGAGCUACUUCGAAACAGUUAUAAGAACCAACCCGUCUCUGUUGCAAAAGAGUGGGAAAAUUUCCAAGUAGUGGCGAUAAACCUACCGCACCAAGAGAUAGCUGGUUGCUCAAGAAAAGAAUUUUAGUUCUACCUCAAGUUUUUUAGUUCCCAGAAACUUCAACUAAACUUAAGAGCUAUUCAAAUAAGGCACAGCUUAUUUGAAAAAGGGUACAACCUCCUAUAUUGGGUAAUUUAUUAAGAAAAAUUAUCAAGUGGGCCUAAAAGCAGCCACCUUUUAAAAAGCGUUAAAGCUUCACUUUUAUUCUUGUAAAAUAACCUUAUUAACAUACAACCCAUUAUUAAUAUUGAGCAACUCCAUAAAAAUAUGGAAGAUAUAAUGCUAGAACUAGUAACAAGAAGCUGAACUUCUCCAAAAUGUAAGCUUAAGCCACUUUAGACAAACUAUUGGCAAUUAACGUUUAUGAAUUCACUUUAUCAACCACACAAGAAAACCUUAAAUAUCUUAACGUUAAACUUACACCAGAACAUUUAUGGAAAGAUCAAAAGAAAAAGAAGGAACUCGGCAAACACUAACCC